AUGGAGACUGCGCUCAUCCAUCCAGCGCUCAUUCUGCAUCCAACGGCCAUCAAUGAUCAAAGUGAAAAAAACCAACACUUAGCAGUUUUUUGCUUGGAGACGCCCACACUAGUAGUUCUCUGUACACCGCUCUCACACUACUUCCGCAUGCAUACGUGUCGAGAAUAUGUCCGCAUGCGGUACGAGAAUCCGUCGAGUAUCCACCCACGCCUACUUAUGUAUACAGAGAGGCAUGUAUUGAUUCUUGAUGCACUGUCAUGGCCUGGUCUAUUUUUGGAUCAAGAUCAUUUUUCACUUCUCUAA
rnacentral:rRNA from 1 species